rnacentral:rRNA from 1 species
AGCGAACGCUGGCGGCAGGCUUAACACAUGCAAGUCGAGCGGACCUUUCGGGGUCAGCGGGGACGGGUGAGUAACGCGUGGGAACGUGCCUUCCGGUUCGGAAUAACCCUGGGAAACUAGGGCUAAUACCGGAUACGCCCUUAUGGGGAAAGGUUUACUGCCGGAAGAUCGGCCCGCGUCUGAUUAGCUAGUUGGUGGGGUAACGGCCUACCAAGGCGACGAUCAGUAGCUGGUCUGAGAGGAUGAUCAGCCACACUGGGACUGAGACACGGCCCAGACUCCUACGGGAGGCAGCAGUGGGGAAUAUUGGACAAUGGGCGCAAGCCUGAUCCAGCCAUGCCGCGUGAGUGAUGAAGGCCUUAGGGUUGUAAAGCUCUUUUAUCCGGGACGAUAAUGACGGUACCGGAGGAAUAAGCCCCGGCUAACUUCGUG